AAAUUUAAUUAAAAAUUGUAUCUAUUUUGUACAAAGUUUAUAUUAAUAAGGAGAAAAGGGAGAAAAUGAAGUUGGCACAGAUAAUGCAAAGAUGCCUGAGAAAUUUGGAAAAAACUGCAUAUGGUAGAUUGUUGAUUCGAUGGAAUUAUUUCAACGGAAGAAUUUAUUGAUCCUGUGUCGAACCGAUGAUAUAAUUAUCUGCUCCAACUGUUGAAGUUUACUUUAGUUUAUCUUUAGCCAGAAAUUAAUAGGAAAUAGAAAUCAAUUAUUCUAAUUUAGGAACAAUUAAACAACAGGUCUCGUCUUAAUGAUAUAGAAUGAACGAUAAAGUAAGGCAAUGAGAAUUACAGCAACAGAUUCUCCCUGCAGUGCGACAAAUAGUACAUGUGGCAGUCAUCAAGUAUGAUAUAUGUUCUGGCAUCAUUGCAUGUUUGUUUUCACGAAAAUAAUAAGUAUAACAUUCGUAUAUAGUCAUGUACAGUGACCACAUGCUACAAAAAUGAGUCAAUUAAAUACUUGCAGUAUCUAGUUCAAUUUGAAUAAAGAUCUAAAAAGAAGAAGGAUCAAUGUUAUAAAGUGCCAUUACAAGUGUCAUUUCUUUCUUACGUGAGAUUUAAACGCGGUAAGAAUAAUUUUCAAAACAUUUGAAUAUUUUCAGUAAUAAAACACGAAUUUACACUUA